UACGGGGGGGGGCAAGCGUUGUUCGGAAUUACUGGGCGUAAAGGGCUCGUAGGUGGCCAACUAAGUCAGACGUGAAAUCCCUCGGCUUAACCGGGGAACUGCGUCUGAUACUGGAUGGCUUGAGGUUGGGAGAGGGAUGCGGAAUUCCAGGUGUAGCGGUGAAAUGCGUAGAUAUCUGGAGGAACACCGGUGGCGAAGGCGGCUCUCUGGGACGGUACUGACGCUGAGACGCGAAAGCGUGGGGAGCGAACAGG
rnacentral:rRNA from 1 species